rnacentral:rRNA from 1 species
AUAUCAAUAAGCGGAGGAAAAGAAACUAACAAGGAUUCCCCUAGUAACGGCGAGUGAAGCGGGAAGAGCUCAAUUUUUAAAUCUCGCUGAGUUCCUCAGCGCGAGUUGUAAGUUAUAGAAGUGUUUUCGGUAUGCACUUGGGUACAAGUCCUUUGGAACAUGGUAUCAUAGAGGGUGAGAAUCCCGUCCAUGACCCAAAGUUGCUUACUAUGUGAUACACUUUCAAAGAGUCAGGUUGUUUGGGAAUGCAGCCUAAAAUGGGUGGUAAAUGCCAUCUAAAGCUAAAUAUUGGCGAGAGACCGAUAGCGAACAAGUACCGUGAGGGAAAGAUGAAAAGAACUUUGAAAAGAGAGUUAAACAGUACGUGAAAUUGUUGAAAGGGAAACGUUUGAAAGCAGCAACGCUUACGGGUACAUGUGCCCCGUCGGCAAGUCAGCGUCAGUUUUGACCGCCGGAAAAAAGCCAAGGGAAGGUGGCUCGUUUUCGAGUGUUAUAGCCCUGCAGCUGAUACGGCGGUUGGGACUGAGGUCUGCAGCCAUUGGCUUAGGUCGCUGACUUAAUGGUUUCAAAUGA